CCUACGGGAGGCAGCAGUGAGGAAUAUUGGUCAAUGGGCGGGAGCCUGAACCAGCCAAGUCGCGUGAGGGACGACGGUCCCAAGGAUUGUAAACUUCUUUUGUCAGGGAACAAAAUCACCCUCGAGAGCCUGGACGAGGGUACUUGAAGAAAAAGCAUCGGCUAACUCCGUGCCAGCAGCCGCGGUAAUACGGAGGAUGCGAGCGUUAUCCGGAUUUAUUGGGUUUAAAGGGUGCGUAGGCGGACAGUUAAGUCAGCGGUAAAAGGGCGGUGCUCAACGCCGGCCAGCCGUUGAAACUGGCAGUCUUGAGUGGGCGAGAGGUAUGCGGAAUGCGUGGUGUAGCGGUGAAAUGCAUAGAUAUCGCGCAGAACUCCGAUUGCGAAGGCAGCAUACCGGCGGCGGACUGACGCUGAGGCACGAAAGCGUGGGUAUCGAACAGGAUUAGAUACCCGUGUAGUC
rnacentral:rRNA from 1 species